GGCAAAGUGAAAGCAUGAAUAGAGCAAAACUUGCAGCAACUUCUAGAGUAAAACUGAGUUUAAAUUAUAAUGCUUGUUCUUUAUUAGCUAAUCAGAAGAACUUCCCAUUUUAUAAUUUGUAUUUACUCUCAAAACUGUUGUUGACUUAAGAUCUAUUGUGUCCAUGUCACAGUUCAUUUCCUCUUGCUGCUUGAUCCUGCCUCUUUCCCUUAUUUUCCCAAGUGCUGACCCCUAAUAAACAUCUUGCACUCCAAAGUGCAUCCCAGUAUCUAUUUUUACAGAAUCCAGCCUGUACACUUGAGUCCUCGAUAAUUCAUACAUUCACUCAACAAACAAGAAAUCAAAUAGCUACAAUGUGCCAACGUCUGUUCUAGACAGUGAAGAUUCAGUGAGACAGAGUGAAAAAGAUCACAGCACCAAAACUUCCUUCAACGUGAUGUGGAGGGGACUGGCUGUUCACAAGGCAAACCAGCAUACCACCCAAUCACCAAGUUGCAGAUGCUACCAUGAAGCCAUCCUGACUUCUCUGGGCAGAUGACCUCACCAAAGUGUCCUGGAACCUCAUCUCUCCAGAGUCCUGCCCCACUAGGGAAAGACAGAAAUAGGCUGGGGGUAUGGAUCCAUCUGCCAAAGUCCACAUCCAGUGGAGAAGCAAUUACAGAAGCCAGACCUUCCACCUUCUGCACCCCAUAAAGAAUUUGGUCCAUACACCCAGAAGGAAAAAUAAUAGGGAAGUUUUCAACAGAAGGAAUGGAACAUGGGACUCUGGUGAUAGGAACUGUGUGGAACUGUACUCCUGUUAUCUUACAAUCUUGUUGAUCAUUACUAAAUCACUAAUAAAAAAAAUAACAGGAAAAAAUAAAAAUAAAUUGGUGAAUGAGUGGUACUAUAUAGUAGAAAAUAUAUGAGGCUAGGGAGGUGAGUCAGUGAUAGGUUCAUGCCUUCCAGGCCCAAGGCCCUGGGUUUAAUCCUAAGCACUCAUUCAAAUAAAAAAGACCAUUAUAAAUUUCAGAGAGUUCCUUGGCCUCUCAGGCUUUUUUUUUCCCCC